rnacentral:rRNA from 1 species
GGGUCAGUAGGUUGGUCGUGCCACCGGUACGUACUGGUCUCACUGAUUCCUCCUUCCUGAAGAACCGUAAUGUCAUUAAUUUGGUGUUGCGGGGAAACAGGACUGUUACUUUGAAAAAAUUAGAGUGUUUAAAGCAAGCUAACGCUUGAAUACAUUAGCAUGGAAUAAUGAAACAGGACGAUCGAUCCUAUUUUGUUGGUUUCUAGGAUUGACGUA